rnacentral:sRNA from 1 species
CAGGAGAACCUGCUCAGCUUGGAGGAGACCAUGAAGCAGCUGGAGGUGGGGCGGGACGGGCCAGGGGUGCCCUGAGUGGGCCGGGGAAGGAAGGGGCCCCCCUCAUCCAUGACCCCCACCCCACCAGGAGUUGGAGGAGGAAUUUUGCCGCCUGCGACCCCUCCUGUCUCAGCUUGGGGGGAACUCUGUCCCCCAGCCUGGCUGCACUUGAGGUUCCCGCCCAGGAAGGCCUUUUGCAAGGAGAGGAAUGGGGGAGAGGACGUGAGGGACCACCCCCACCCACACAGCUGCCGCAGCAUCUCACACCCCGAGGGCCUGAGGAGAGGGAGCUGUGGGCCACGCCUGGGAGGGGCCCAGCUGGGGUUACUGGCCCCGCAUGAGCCUCGGCCAUCUCUCCCUCCUGCCCUCUGCUUGGGGGACUCAGGGCUCCAUUCUGGAGGGCACCACGGUGACCCGGGCCAUCUCAGUAUUGCCUGUGGGGGCCACCCCUCCACCCCCACCCCCAAGUGCCUUCGCUCUGUUUUUAUACCCUGAAUUGGAGGUUUAUUUUUUAAUAUAUAUUAUCUAAGAAGA